UCCCGUUGAUCCUGCGGGAGGCUACUGCUAGUGGGAUUCGACUUAGACAUGUAAGUUUAAAGUUUUCGGACUUGGCGAAAGGCUCAGUAACACGUCAAUAAUCUGCCCUUAGGUGGGGGAUAACUUCGGGAAACUGAAGAUAAUACCCUAUAGGUAAGGGAGGCUGGAAGGCACCUUUAUUCAAAGCUCCGGCGCCUAAGGAUGAGUUGGCGGCAGAUUAGGCUGUUGGUGGUGUAAAGGACCACCAAACCUGAGAUCUGUAAGGGGGAUGAGAGUCCUAGCCCUGAGAAGGACACUGAGAAAAGGGUCCUAGCCCUACGGGGUGCAGCAGUCACGAAACCUCUACAAUGCGCGAAAGUGUGAUAGGGGGAUCCCACGUGCUGGCGCACUGCGUCAGCUUUUCUAGAGUGUAAGUAGCUCUGGGAAUAAGUGGUGGGCAAGACCGGUGCCAGCCGCCGCGGUAACACCGGCGCCACGAGUGGUAGCCGCGUUUAUUGGGCCUAAAGCAUCCGUAGCCGGUUAGUUAAGUUUCCUGUGAAAUUUAGUGGUUUAACCAUUAAGCGGGCUGGAAAUACUGGCUAACUUGGGACCGGGAGAAGUAAAGGGUAUUCCUUGGGGAGCGGUAAAAUGUUGUAAUCCUUGGAGGACCAUCGAUGGCGAAGGCACUUUACUAGAACGGGUCCGACGGUGAGGGAUGAAAGCUAGGGUAGCGAGCCGGAUUAGAUACCCGGGUAGUCCUAGCCGUAAACGCUGCCUGUUAGGUGCUGCAUUUCUUUCGAAGGUAUGCAGUGCCGUAGUGAAGAUGUUAAACAGGCCGCCUGGGAAGUACGGUCGCAAGGCUGAAACUUAAAGGAAUUGGCGGGGGGUCACCACAAGGGGUGAAUGUUGCGGUUCAAUUGGAUUCUACGCCCGGAACCUUACCAGAGGCGACAGCAAGAUGAAGGUCAGUCUGAAUGGCUUACUCGAUGCGCUGAGAGGUGGUGCAUGGCCGCCGUCAGCUCGUGGCGUGAGGUGUUCGGUUAAGUCCGAGAACGAGCGAGACCUAUGUCUCCAGUUGCUACUGCUUUUUUCGGAAGGCAGGCACACUGGUGAGACUGCAUGCGUUAAGUAUGAGGAAGGUGUAGGCCACGGUAGGUCUGUAUGCCCCGAAUCCUCUGGGCUACACGCGACAUGCAUUGGUUAAAACAACGGGCUGCAACUCCGAAAGGAGAAGCUAAUCCCUUAACUUUAACCCUGUUCGAAUUGAGGGCUGCAACCCGCCCUCAUGAAGGCGAAAUCCCUAGCAAUCGUAUGUUAGCAACGUGCGGUGAAUACGUCCCUGACCCUUGCACACACUGCCCGUCACACCACUCGAGUUGGGUUUGGAUGAGGUGGAGUCAUUUGUCCUCAUCGAAUCUAGAUUCAGCGAGAUGGAU
rnacentral:rRNA from 1 species